AAAUUGAAGAGUUUGAUCAUGGCUCAGAUUGAACGCUGGCGGCAGGCCUAACACAUGCAAGUCGAACGGUAACAGGAAGAAGCUUGCUUCUUUGCUGACGAGUGGCGGACGGGUGAGUAAUGUCUGGGAAACUGCCUGAUGGAGGGGGAUAACUACUGGAAACGGUAGCUAAUACCGCAUAACGUCGCAAGACCAAAGAGGGGGAGCUUCGGGCCUCUUGCCAUCGGAUGUGCCCAGAUGGGAUUAGCUAGUAGGUGGGGU
rnacentral:rRNA from 1 species